rnacentral:rRNA from 1 species
UACGUAGGGUGCAAGCGUUGUCCGGAAUUAUUGGGCGUAAAGAGCUCGUAGGCGGUCUGUCGCGUCGGCUGUGAAAACCCGGGGCUCAACCCCGGGCCUGCAGUCGAUACGGGCAGACUAGAGUGCGGUAGGGGAGACUGGAAUUCCUGGUGUAGCGGUGAAAUGAGCAGAUAUCAGGAGGAACACCGGUGGCGAAGGCGGGUCUCUGGGCCGUAACUGACGCUGAGGAGCGAAAGCGUGGGGAGCGAACAGG